AAACAUCCGUGGUCAAUGAACCAUUACGACUAAGCCUCUCUUAUUUGGGAACAUUCCAAAUGAAUGUAUGACUUUCUUGAAACCUUUUUAGUGUACAUAUAUCCAUCAUCAAAGUACAGCAGAGAAACUUUGGUGAAGUGCA